rnacentral:rRNA from 1 species
AUUGAACGCUGGCGGCAUGCCUUACACAUGCAAGUCGAACGGCAGCACGGGUGCUUGCACCUGGUGGCGAGUGGCGAACGGGUGAGUAAUACAUCGGAACGUAUCUUAUCGUGGGGGAUAACGCAGCGAAAGCUGUGCUAAUACCGCAUACGCCCUGAGGGGGAAGGCGGGGGAUCGAAAGACCUCGCGCGAUUAGAGCGGCCGAAGCCUGAUGCGCGUGUUGGUGGGGUAAAAGCCCACCAAGGCGACGAUCAGUAGCUGGUCUGAGAGGACGAUCAGCCAAACUGGGACUGGGACACGGCCCAGACUCCUACGGGAGGCGGCAGUGGGAAAUUUUGGACAAUGGGGGCAACCCUGAUCCAGCAAUGCCGCGUGAGUGAAGAAGGCCUUCGGGGUGUAAAGCUCUUUUGUCAGGGAAGAAACACCGGCUCUAACACAGUCCGGGAAUGACGGUACCUGAAGAAUAAGCACCGGCUAACUACGUGCCAGCCGCCGCAGUAA